AUGGAUCUUGUAAGUGCUAGCGCGACACCACAGGCUCUAGGGCUCCUCCUACUCUUCUUCCUCGUCGCCCUGCACCUGGCGGCGUCGAGUUCGGGAGCAGAGAAGCUGCGCAGCAAGCUCCCAUCGCCUCCGUUCAAGCUCCCCGUGAUCGGGCACCUCCACCUCGUCGGGUCCCUCCCCCACGUCUCCCUCCGCGACCUCGCCAGGAAGCACGGCCCCGACGUGAUGCUCCUCCGCCUCGGCGCCGUCCCCACGCUCGUCGUGUCGUCCCCUCGCGCUGCCAAGGCCGUCCUGCGCACGCACGACCACCUCUUCGCGUCCCGGCCGCACUCCGCCGUGGGCGACAUCCUCUCCAACGGCUCCACCAACGUGGCCUUGGCCCCCUACGGCGACUACUGGCGGCGGACCAAGAAGCUCGUCACCACCCACCUCCUCGCCGCCAGGAAGGUCCGCUCCAACCGCGCCGCCCGCGAGCAGGAGGUGCGGCUGGUCCUGGCCAGGCUACGGGCCGCGGCCGCCGAUACCGCGCGCACGGCGGUGGACGUGAGCGAGCUCUUCAUCUACUUCGCCAACGACGUGGUGUGCCAGGCCGUGCUGGGCAGGCUCCCCCGGGAGGCCGGCCGGAACCAGAUGUUCCGGGAGCUGUUGGAGAUCCACUGCAAGCUCUUAGGGGGGUUCAACCUGCCGGACUACUUUCCGAUCUUGGCGAGGCUGGACAUGGUGACCGCCAAGGCCGUGAAGCUGAAGAGAAGAUGGGACGACGUACUGGACGACCUCAUCGACAAGCACGCGAGCAAGAUGGCGAAUGACGAUGAGGAGGAGGACUUCAUCGACGUGUUGCUCUCCGUUCAACAGGAGUACAGCCUGACCAGAGAUAACAUCAAGGCAAUACUAGUGGACAUGUUUGAAGCCGGGACAGACACAACUUACAUAGCACUCGACUACGCCAUGGCUGAGCUGAUGCGGAAACCACAGGCAAUGGCCAAGCUGCAAGCCGAGGUGAGAGGGUGCGCCACCAAGGGAAAAGAGAUGGUGACCGAGGACGACCUAGGAAGCAUGAGCUACCUCAAGGCCGCGAUGAGGGAAGCGAUGCGGCUGCACCCGUCAGGGCCUCUCAUGAUACCCCACCUCUCCGUGGCGGACUGCGGUGUAGAGGGCCAUACCAUACCCUCCGGGACGCGUGUGAUCAUCAACGUGUGGGCGAUAGGCAGGGACGCCGCCAGCUGGAAGGACGCGGAGGAGUUCGUGCCCGAGCGGUUCAUGGAAGAAGCCAUGGAUGCCACUUGCGACUUGCAGGGAAACGACUUUCGUUUCUUGCCUUUUGGGUCUGGGCGAAGGAUGUGCCCGGGUAUAAGCUUCGCUGCCGUCACUUUCGAGAUCAUUCUGGCCAACCUUGUCUACCACUUCAACUGGGAGCUACCGGAGGGAUCCUCUAGCGUCGAUAUGACGGAGGAAUUCGGGUUUGAUGUGCACCGCAAGGAGAGGCUGCUUCUUGUGCCACGUGUGCCUCACCACCUCUAG
rnacentral:rRNA from 1 species